rnacentral:rRNA from 1 species
GAUGAACGCUAGCUACAGGCUUAACACAUGCAAGUCGAGGGGUAACGAGAGGAAAGCUUGCUUUCCUUGUCGACGACCGGCGCACGGGUGAGUAACGCGUAUCCAACCUGCCCCCAACUAGGGAAUAACCUUGCGAAAGUAAGACUAAUACCCUAUAAUUUCCUCAGAUGUCAUCUGACGAGGAAUAAAGAUUUAUCGGUUGUGGAUGGGGAUGCGUCUGAUUAGCUUGUUGGCGGGGUAACGGCCCACCAAGGCAACGAUCAGUAGGGGUUCUGGGAAGAAAGUCCCCCCAAGUGGAACUGAGACACGGUCCAAACUCCUACGGGAGGCAGCAGUUAGGAAUAUUUGUCAAUGGGCGGAAGCCUGAACCAGCCAAGUAGCGUGCCGGAUUACGGCCCUAUUGGUUGUAAACUGCUUUUAUACAGGAAUAAAGUUAGCCACGUGUGGUUAUUUGUAGGUACUGUAUGAAUAAGGACCGGCUAAUUCCGUGCCAGCCGCCGCAGUAA